GCUCCUCCCGAACCGCAGCCCCGGCGCUGCCGCAGAGCGCCCGGCCCGGCCCCCAGCGCCGCAGCCCGGGGCGGGCGCGGCCUCCUCGCACCGCCCGGACGGGAACGGCGGCGCCGAGCGGCCGAGCCGGGGGCGAUCACAGCCCGGGCACAGCGGGCUGCGCUGGGCUGGGCUGGGCAGGAGGGUCUCCGGAGCGCUCCUGCCCCUCAGCCGCGACGGGAGCGGGCCGGGGGACAGGACGGAAGACGACCCGGGGGUGGUGCGGGGCUGUGCCCGUGGCCGGCGCUGGGGAGAAGCCGCGCGGUGCCUCCUGCGGGAGGCUGGGCCCGGAGGGGCUCCCGCGGACCUACUGCCACGCCACAAGGUACGGGGGGAGAAGGUCCGACGCCCUGUGGGACAUUGCCAAUGUCCCCGCAGCCUCCCUGCGGUGCCAGCCUUUGGCUUUUGUUUCGGGAGUCUUUGGAAGGCAGUGCAAAGGAAGGCGUUUGUCCAGCCCACUGGCCUCGUCCUGCAUUGCUGGCACGGAGACCAUUAUCUCUGCAAGUGCUCAUCGCCAGCCUGGAAGCGGUCCCUGGGACUGGGUAACCAUGGCAAAAACAGAGCAGUUCUUCUGCAUCUCAGUGGAGCACUGACCAAGGCAGCACAGGCAAAGCUGCUCUGGGCUGGCCAUGCUCCCAGGUAAUGGUCCUGUGGUGCUGGGGCUUCUCUUCACCUUUGGCUCCAUUUAAUCUCUUGUUUGGCAAAACAACACAGUGCUCCUCUCCUUUGUUACUUGAACUAUCUCCAAAGACUGCUAAAGGCCAUGGGAGAGCCAGGGAAGUGUCCUGGCAGCCCUUGCGCUCUGUCUGCCCGGAGGCAGUGCUGCAGGUACUCCACAGAAAGGCUUAGUGCCUCUCUAGCUGUGCUCCUCAGCCCCUGGGAGCAGGGCAGGGGAGCAGCACACCUUCUCUGCACCCAUCUCCAGAGGCUCUGUGGCACCGUGGUAUAUCCCAGUGACACCACCGAUGGGGCAAGGCCAGCCCUUCGAAGCUGGAGAGCCUAACGAGCUCCAGAAGACAUCCUCACUCUUUCCCACAGGGAGCAGCAAAUCUGACUGGCAGACAAAAGAAAAUGUGGUUACAUCUAAAUACUGGCAAUUUCAACAGAGUGGGUCAGGAUUCGUGAAAAUCUUUGUCGAGAAUCAUUACAGGCUGCACAGGGGUAACAGGAAAUAAAGGUUGUCUUUAGGGUUCUGCUACUGUAGGAGAAUGGAACCCAAAAUUUCACUUGCCCCAAACCAGUUCAUACUUGAAUUAUGGCAACUCAGACUUCUCCUCAUAAACAUGCCAGAACGAGUGUGAUGAUUCAGCUUACUGUGGUUUUAUGUCCUAAAGUACUGGUCCCUUGCCACUACUGCUUUUGAGUUUGAAAUUGCUUGUGCUAUUAUCUCGAUUAUUUUUUUAAUUAUUUAUAUAGGCAGUGUGGGAAAAGCAAUGAGAGUGAUUACACUUGAAAUGAGAACUCUGUUUGAAUGAGUUUUUGAGUCACACUGUGCCUAAACUACACCAUCAGGCAAAUAGAGGAAAACUCCCAAAUGGCACAAAGCUUUGGCCUCUACCUCCAGAACCACGUCAGCCCUGGGAUCUCCAACCAAAAUGUGGAGGAGUGUGGCAGGGCUCCAGUGCUCCCAACUGCCUCCUUUCUGCCUCCAGGUCAGUUUUCUUCCCCCGCAGUCAUAAGACCAAGGGUCUGGCUGAAGAGCAACUGGAGUGAAAAGCUGUAUGUGAAAAUUUAUACAUUUGUUCUCAAGGAUGACAAUGCAGCAAGUGCUUUUAUCCCAAUAAUAUGGGUUUGUUAGGAUACCCUGAAUGUCUUUGGAACCCAGCAGGUUCUCUACUGAUCCUGCCCUGCUUCCAGAAGUAUUUCCCCUUCUUCCCUGAUAAAGUUGCUUUGGCACUGACUUCCAUGAACCUUAGACCGGAGAUCAGAAGUUACUUUCCAGAUCAUAACUGGAUAGUGAAGCUUUAAAAGAGAACCAAGUCCACUAGAAUUUCAGUCUGGGCCCCCAUUCCACAUAUUCAUUCUAAGCCUACAUCUACCUGCUCUUCCCUUUUCCAUAUCCAUUUUCUAAGAUGAUGCAGCAGCUGGGUAUUACAGUGGCAGAGAAAGACACUUGAUUUCUUCUACCUUUCCUGACAAUAGAAGGAUAAGAAAGACUCAACAACACAGAAUUAUGGCUAAAACAGAUGCCCAGAACUGAAAUGCUUUUUCUCCCAGCAGGGCUAAAGCUCAGCACAACAGUAAAAUUGCGAGAGCAUAGCCUGGUUCAGCUUUUAAGCACUGCAGAGGGCUAUAAGGAUACCUAAGCUGCACAUAAUCUUGCCAAGUAGGAAACAGCUGACUUUAAGUUCUGCAGACGCUGGAUGUAGCGCGUGGCUGCGCAUGGAUUUUGGAGACAUCCAUGGUGGGAAAAUACUGCAUCUCUCAUGCAGUCUCUGGUUACCAAGGCAAACGCAGUUAAGGCACAAAAAGCAAAAUGAGUAAGUUGUUCUUCACAAGCAACCCCUGCAUUCCCAGCUGCACUUCAUUUGCUGGAAACCUCCUCCACUUAUCACUGGGCUUUCAGAUGUCCACAGACCUACAGCCUUACCGACAUCUCCAGCUGCUGGACUUCCAGGCCUUGAGAUGCCAUAUGUUGGGUCUUGUGACAGAAGAGUUCAUAAUCCACUGGAGCAAGGCUGACCCGUGAGCAGACAGGGGUGCACACAAGGAAGGGCUGCUCCAGCAGACGUGGAUGCACAUAUGGAAGAGCUGCUCCAGCAGUGCUCCCAUGAGCACAGGGCUGUGGUAGGAAAGCAGCUAGGCAGGGCUGUGAUUGCCCUCCUUUCCCAGCAGCUUCUGUACCCAUCUCAGCUGCUGGCUGAUGGUUGUAGGCCAGAGUAACAUGCGUCUGGUGUGUGGGAUACUGGAAAAAUGCUGCAACCCCUCCCUUUUAUGGGGUCUGUGUAUGGAUCUAGAGGCUUAACAUUAGGUGGCCAAAUUUAUGAUGUGUUGUAUAGGUGCAAUGUUAUGUAACUGGAGAGGAAAUUAAAGUGCAAGUAAUGCACUGUAUUAAUUUAGGACUAGUUAACAGCAACUAAUUUAAAACAAUUAUAUGGACAGGCAGACAUCAGCUAUAGCAUUUAUAUAGAUGCAAAGACAUCUACCUCAGUGCAGAGGUUACCCCUUUAAAAACAGGAAGAAUCCAAGUUUAUGAAAGACGGGGUGGGUAGUGUUAGUGUUAUUUGUAAUGGUAUUGUCAGUGUUUCUUGUCUCAAGUUCUUAGAAAGAAAAUUCUUCAGGCAAUGGAGAAGAUGGAAGAGUCAACUCUAAGCAAUUCCAGGUACCUUAAAGCUAACAGGAAGGGCCCCUCAGCACUGCUUUCCGGCCUUUGGUGGCCCAGGGUUGGAAUUAAACGUGCAGAAGUUUAAUUCAAACAAACUUGCUGCAGGGCUUACACAUGCACAGUUAGACUUUUCUGAAUAAAGUCACCAUUCAUGUUAAUGUUUGUGUUAAAAUACUGACAAGCAUUUUCCUUUUCCUCGAAGGAAACUUGAAUCCAUGACCUGCAGUAACAGGUAUUUCUAAUGCUUGAUACAUCAAAAUGGUUCUGCCAGCCCCCUGCCCAACAGCGCACCAAGUACAGCUUUGCAGGCCUCCGUCCUUCUUGGUCCCAGCACAUUUCAAAUUCUCUUCCCAGGCACUAAGUCUCCAUGAACUCUACUCUAGUCUUUUAUAACUUUAUUUUACCUUAAGACAAAACCAAGGCAGGAGCAGAAAAGAGAAGUUAAGGUAGAGAAACAUUAACUCCCACAUGCUGGUGCUGUUGCUAUCCCUGCAGUGAUCCAGAUGCUGUUGUGCCAGCCAAGCAGCCUCUGCAUUGCCUGCAAUGACAUCUUAGAUUGCGGCACAGGCAAAAGGACGGAUUUAAUCAAUGACAGCAGCACUGCAGUCUGUCCUUACACUAUGAAACACAGGCUCCCAGCCCUGGUUUGCAUGUAUUUGCUGCUAGCCAGGAGAUUUAAAAGUGUGAAAAUUUAGGGCUACUAAAAAUCCACCUCGUGUGUUCUGAACAACCUCCCUGGUUACUGUUUUUCCCCCAAACAUUGGAAUAUUCUAUUUCCCUAACUACAGUUUUGCUCUGUGCUUUUUCACUUAAAUGGCUGCAGUCUUAUGUUACUUGUCAGCUUCAGGAGACAAUCACACAUGCAACAUUUUUGUCCUGUCAGCUGGUAGUGGUUUUCAAAACAGGAUGCCUAUUUUUCCCCCCAUUAUUUGCAACAGUGAGACACAGAAGUCUGAGCUUUUGUUUUCAGUUGGUUAUGCAGGUUCAACCUGGUGAAUCAUUCUUCCUGCAGCUACAUUUCCAGGAAAAGACAAAGGCCUGGCUCUUCUCCAAGUUAUCCAAGUCAGAUCAGAAAGCACUCCUUCUCCCACAGCUGGGACACUUUCUAAGAAGGGAGAAAUUGAUAAAACACAUCCCAGAGCUGGUGUCAUCACCCUGCAGACAGGCAAGGAGGUGCAUGGCCUUGGAAAGGCAUGUGCAGUACUAAGUCAGGGUUAAGAUAAUAGCAGAGUUUACUGGAUUUAAGAUUCUUGGCCCUGUGAAACACAAGCAUGUGCAAGGAGCCAUUCUCCAUUUCUGGGACUGAUGGUUACUGUGAAGCUGGAUGGUUUCCGGAAAAUCCUACAAUUUAAUUUCAAGCAUUUUAGACUCUCAUCUUGUUGCAGUUGGUGUGGACAAGAACAUAGCCUUGGAGCUGGGAAUUUUUCAAGAGCUGUUAUUCAGAUAGAAGCUGGUAACUAUGGUUUCAGACGUCUCCUCUCAGGGAUACUGCUGCUCACAGAUGAAGGGAGGCCUGGUUUUUCACGAUGAGGCAAAGGGCUUGUGUGGUU